GAAGUGCGAAUGCUGACAUAAGUAACGAUAAAGCGGGUGAAAAGCCCGCUCGCCGGAAGACCAAGGGUUCCUGUCCAACGUUAAUCGGGGCAGGGUGAGUCGACCCCUAAGGCGAGGCCGAAAGGCGUAGUCGAUGGGAAACAGGUUAAUAUUCCUGUACUUGGUGUUACUGCGAAGGGGGGACGGAGAAGGCUAUGUCAGCCGGGCGACGGUUGUCCCGGUUUAAGCAUGUAGGCGGAGGUUCCAGGUAAAUCCGGUACCUUAUUAACGCUGAGGUGUGAUGACGAGGCACUACGGUGCUGAAGUGAUAAAUGCCCUGCUUCCAGGAAAAGCCUCUAAGCAUCAGGUAACACGAAAUCGUACCCCAAACCGACACAGGUGGUCAGGUAGAGAAUACCAAGGCGCUUGAGAGAACUCGGGUGAAGGAACUAGGCAAAAUGGUGCCGUAACUUCGGGAGAAGGCACGCUGAUAUGUAGGUGAAGCCCCUGCGGGCGGAGCUGAAAUCAGUCGAAGAUACCAGCUGGCUGCAACUGUUUAUUAAAAACACAGCACUGUGCAAACACGAAAGUGGACGUAUACGGUGUGACGCCUGCCCGGUGCCGGAAGGUUAAUUGAUGGGGUUAGCGGCAACGCGAAGCUCUUGAUCGAAGCCCCGGUAAACGGCGGCCGUAACUAUAACGGUCCUAAGGUAGCGAAAUUCCUUGUCGGGUAAGUUCCGACCUGCACGAAUGGCGUAAUGAUGGCCAGGCUGUCUCCACCCGAGACUCAGUGAAAUUGAACUCGCUGUGAAGAUGCAGUGUACCCGCGGCAAGACGGAAAGACCCCGUGAACCUUUACUAUAGCUUGACACUGAACACUGGUCCUUGAUGUGUAGGAUAGGUGGGAGGCUUUGAAGCGUGGACGCCAGUCUGCGUGGAGCCGCCCUUGAAAUACCACCCUUUAAUGGCUGGUGUUCUAACGUAGACCCGUGAUCCGGGUUGCGGACAGUGUCUGGUGGGUAGUUUGACUGGGGCGGUCUCCUCCCAAAGAGUAACGGAGGAGCACGAAGGUUGGCUAAUCCUGGUCGGACAUCAGGAGGUUAGUGCAAUGGCAUAAGCCAGCUUGACUGCGAGCGUGACGGCGCGAGCAGGUGCGAAAGCAGGUCAUAGUGAUCCGGUGGUUCUGAAUGGAAGGGCCAUCGCUCAACGGAUAAAAGGUACUCCGGGGAUAACAGGCUGAUACCGCCCAAGAGUUCAUAUCGACGGCGGUGUUUGGCACCUCGAUGUCGGCUCAUCACAUCCUGGGGCUGAAGUAGGUCCCAAGGGUAUGGCUGUUCGCCAUUUAAAGUGGUACGCGAGCUGGGUUUAGAACGUCGUGAGACAGUUCGGUCCCUAUCUGCCGUGGGCGCUGGAGAAUUGAGGGGGGCUGCUCCUAGUACGAGAGGACCGGAGUGGACGCAUCACUGGUGUUCGGGUUGUCAUGCCAAUGGCACUGCCCGGUAGCUAAAUGCGGAAGAGAUAAGUGCUGAAAGCAUCUAAGCACGAAACUUGCCCCGAGAUGAGUUCUCCCUGAGACCUUGAGUCUCCUGAAGGAACGUUGAAGACGACGACGUUGAUAGGUCGGGUGUGUAAGCGCAGCGAUGCGUUGAGCUAACCGAUACUAAUGAACCGUGAGGCUUAACCUU
rnacentral:rRNA from 2 species